AAAACUGGAUCCAAAUGAGCAGCGAGGUGCUCGCGCUAUCUAUAGUGGAAGGGGGAUGUACAUAGUUUGGAGUCAAAAAAGGAGGAAAAGGAAAGAAGGAAGAAAUUGAAUCUAAAGAAUAAAAGAAUGAAAAAAUGUCCCGUCUGGACAUAUUUACAGGAGUUAAGGGCUCCAUAGCUAGCCCGUAACAGCUAGCUGAAGGAUGAGAAAUGGAUGGAGCACCAAGCGAUGGAAAAUAGGAUCUCAACCACAGUUGAGUAAACCAAAGAGGUCCACUGCCAGUGGGAGAUGCACCAUUCUUCAAUUGAGCCUGAAGAAAAGACAUACCUCUAUAAAGGGCAGCCCAAAACAAAGAACAUAAAUUCAAAGGCCUGCCACGCGCCAAUUCGUGCGCUAUAGGUAAAUAACUCAGAGAAGGCUUUAUACUUGGCACACACAAAACAUAUUUACAAAGCCAAACUAAAAGAAAGGCCACCCGCUCAGCAUGGGUAGGCUCAGCGCUCGAAUGAUUAUGGAGGGUCUACAGGCUUGAAUAAGAAUCGGUGUAGUUUUUGCCGAACUGUGGGGCGCCACCAG
rnacentral:lncRNA from 1 species